GUACACGCUGUGACUAGCAUAUCAAUAAGCGGAGGAAAAGAAACUAACAAGGAUUCCCCUAGUAACGGCGAGUGAAGCGGGAAGAGCUCAAAUUUGAAAUCUUAAAGGGUUUCCCUUUACGAAUUGUAGUUUAAAGAAGUGUUUUCUGUUGAGGUUUUGGUAAAAGUUCUUUGGAAUUAGGACAUCAUAGAGGGUGAGAAUCCCGUAUUUGACCUUUACUUUCAACUUUGUGAUACACUUUCAAAGAGUCGGAUUGUUUGGGAAUGCAGUCCAAAAUGGGUGGUAAAUUUCAUCUAAAGCUAAAUAUUGGCGAGAGACCGAUAGCGAACAAGUACCGUGAGGGAAGGAUGAAAAGAACUUUGAAAAGAGAGUUAAACAGUACGUGAAAUUGUCAAAAGGGAAGCGUUUGACACCAGUGUUGUUUUUCUGAAAAUCAAUUAAAGAACUGUUUAUGCUAAGCUGUUUAGACUUUAUCAGCUAUCUGUUUAGUUUUGAGCUUUUCUUUAAUGCACUUUUCAGUUAACAAGUCAACAUCAAUUUCUUUUGCUGUAAAAAAGCUUGAGGAAGGUGGCUUGAGAUUCGUCUUAAGUGUUUAUAGCCUCUUGCCUAUGCAGUCGGAGAGAUCGAGGAUCUGCAGCGUAGAUCCUUCGGGGCUAAAUGCAUUUGUGCUAAGUUAUAGCAUUUUAUAGACAACUUGUUGACUAUGAUUUGUCUUGUAGCUUACUCGCUUAUGUUAUUUUACCUACGCUUAGGAUGUUGAAGUCAUCGUAUCGCGC
rnacentral:rRNA from 1 species